rnacentral:lncRNA from 1 species
CUCUGAUGUCCAGGAUUAGAUAUUGACUCAAGACACGCGCACACACACACACACAUACAUACAUACAUACAUACAUAUAACUAAAAUAAAGCAUAUUUAUUUAAGAAAUAAGAAUAUAUAAUAAAGCAAUUAAUAUCAAUAUAAACUGUUGAUACAGUUAGGCUUAGCAUCUAAAUAAUGUGAUAACAAUUUAAAGUUAUUACAGUCUUCAAGAGAAAGCAUGAGAGAGAGCCCUGUUGUUAUCAUUCUGCAGAUUAACAACUAAAGUUGUUAAUCUGCAGAAUAGUGAUAAUUUAUUUCCCUUAUUCUAAUGUACUAUUACAAUAAACACAAGUAUUUGUAACAAAAUCAAUUGCAUUCCCAACAUAUUUUAAAUUUACUCUUUGAGAGUUUUUGUAUAACAUGAAAUGGUAUUAUGCAUGUAAAAUGGUCUUUCUAUUGAUACAAGAUUGCUUCUUCGUAUUUUGGACAACAGUCAACACAAAAAUAUACUGCACCACCUGUCGCUGGAAAUAUCAGAAGACUGGUAUUCAAACAGUAUGGACACACAGCAAUCCCUUUCUUCCAUUUAAAACUAUACAUAUUUCCAUCAAUAUACUGUUGGAAAUCACCUCCUGUAACUAAAAUCAUUAAAUUACUCAUUUAAUAAUCUUAUAAGAAUUAAUAUCUCAUACCAUGUUCACUAUUAAUCUUCACUAUUUGGUUAUGGGAUUUGAUUUUAAACUACAAUCAAAAAUCUUAAGUUAACAAAUUGAGAUUAUUUUAUUAAAAGUUAUCUAAGUGUCAUGCUUAAGUCAUAAAUAUGUAUGAAAAAUAAAAAAUUGGUAUGUACCUAGAUAGUUGUUUAUAAUUUAAUAAAAAAAAAAUUAAACCACCAAAUAUGUGUGAGAUGUGUCUCACUGAUAUUGUUGACUCUUUAGGCAGCUAUGAAUAAAUAAGUUGAAAAAAGCUGCUAUUUCAUUAAAGAAAUGUUUUUUAUAUAAAAUAAUAAAUUCAAAACUAGCACGGGACUGCAGAUAUUGCUUUGUUUGACAAACAUUUUCAGCUCUCCUUCGGGGUCAUCAUCAGGUCUGGUGCAAACUGUUACAAGACAAACUUAUAUUUGUAAGGUAGAUUUUUUUUAUCCUUCCUGUUUAUAGAUUCAUGGUGGGGGGAUGGA